AACGCGAAGAACCUUACCUACUCUUGACAUCCAGAGAACUUUCCAGAGAUGGAUUGGUGCCUUCGGGAACUCUGAGACAGGUGCUGCAUGGCUGUCGUCAGCUCGUGUUGUGAAAUGUUGGGUUAAGUCCCGCAACGAGCGCAACCCUUAUCCUUUGUUGCCAGCGGUCCGGCCGGGAACUCAAAGGAGACUGCCAGUGAUAAACUGGAGGAAGGUGGGGAUGACGUCAAGUCAUCAUGGCCCUUACGAGUAGGGCUACACACGUGCUACAAUGGCGCAUACAAAGAGAAGCGAACUCGCGAGAGCAAGCGGACCUCAUAAAGUGCGUCGUAGUCCGGAUUGGAGUCUGCAACUCGACUCCAUGAAGUCGGAAUCGCUAGUAAUCGUAGAUCAGAAUGCUACGGUGAAUACGUUCCCGGGCCUUGUACACACCG
rnacentral:rRNA from 1 species